CAAGCAAAAAGACCCACAAGAGUCGCUAAUAGCCAUUCCGAGGCAAUGCGUCUGUUUUACGCUGCGCAAACGAUCUGUGAAUCUUUGUUUUUAACAUAAAUGUGGAGAUAAAACCGUAGACAGUUCUGUCAAAAGGACGUUUUUUAAAGCUGGGACUCUGAUCUGCAUUGCUUUGAGAAACUUGACUAUAUGAAGACGCCUAAUCGACCUGUUCCUGGUCCUGGUCCUGAUCCUGGUCCUGAUCCAGAGACUGAAGGAAGUGCAGAGUCACGCAAGGAAGGAAAAGAUCUAUGACCUGCUAAAAGCCAGUGUGGAGACAGAAAGAGAGCGAGCUUAUUAAAUGCUACCUGUUAAUGUUAACGUCAACGUUAAUGUUUUUCCACCAUUUAAAUAAUAAUAAAUAUAUUAUUGUACUAAAAGGAAAAAUGUAAUCGAAUGUCAUAUUCUGAUGCCGAUUCCUCCAAUAAAAUCCUAAUAAAUCUCA